CGCAUCUGUGCAUGCAGCAUAUCAAUAAGCGGAGGAAAAGAAACUAACAAGGAUUCCCUUAGUAACGGCGAGUGAAGCGGGAAGAGCUCAAAUUUGAAAUCUUCAAGGUUUUACCUUGACGAAUUGUAGUUUAAAGAAGUGUUUUCCGUUGAAGUUUUGGUAAAAGUUCUUUGGAAUAGGACAUCAUAGAGGGUGAGAAUCCCGUAUUUGACCAUUAUUUUCAGCUGUGUGAUACACUUUCAAGGAGUCGGAUUGUUUGGGAAUGCAGUCCAAAAUGGGUGGUGAAUUUCAUCUAAAGCUAAAUAUUGGCGAGAGACCGAUAGCGAACAAGUACCGUGAGGGAAAGAUGAAAAGAACUUUGAAAAGAGAGUUAAACAGUACGUGAAAUUGUCAAAAGGGAAGCGUUUGACACCAGUGUUGUUUUCUCGAAAAUCAAUUAAAAAGAGUUAGAUUUUGUUGUGUAUUGACCUUAACAGCUUGCAUUUCAAUUUUCUUGCUUUUUUUAAUGCACUUUUCGUUUAACAAGUCAACAUCAGUUUCUUUUGUUGUAAAAAGGUCAUUGGAAGGUGGCUUUCUUUUCGGAGAAAGUGUUUAUAGCCUUUGACUCCUGCAAUCGGAGAGACUGAGGUCUGCAGCGUAGAUCCUUCGGGGUUAGAUACAUUUGUGCUAAGUUAUAGCUUUUUAUAGACAACUUGUUGACUAUGAUUAGUCUUGUAGCUUACUCGCUUAUGCUAUUUUACCUACGCUUAGGAUGUUGACACACGCGCGUGCUCG
rnacentral:rRNA from 1 species